GUCGAGCGGUAACAGGAAGCAGCUUGCUGUUUCGCUGACGAGUGGCGGACGGGUGAGUAAUGUCUGGGAAACUGCCUGAUGGAGGGGGAUAACUACUGGAAACGGUAGCUAAUACCGCAUAACGUCGCAAGACCAAAGAGGGGGACCUUCGGGCCUCUUGCCAUCGGAUGUGCCCAGAUGGGAUUAGCUUGUUGGUGGGGUAACGGCUCACCUAGGCGACGAUCCCUAGCUGGUCUGAGAGGAUGACCAGCCACACUGGAACUGAGACACGGUCCAGACUCCUACGGGAGGCAGCAGUGGGGAAUAUUGCACAAUGGGCGCAAGCCUGAUGCAGCCAUGCCGCGUGUAUGAAGAAGGCCUUCGGGUUGUAAAGUACUUUCAGCGGGGAGGAAGGGAGUAAAGUUAAUACCUUUGCUCAUUGACGUUACCCGCAGAAGAAGCACCGGCUAACUCCGUGCCAGCAGCCGCGGUAAUACGGAGGGUGCAAGCGUUAAUCGGAAUUACUGGGCGUAAAGCGCACGCAGGCGGUUUGUUAAGUCAGAUGUGAAAUCCCCGGGCUCAACCUGGGAACUGCAUCUGAUACUGGCAAGCUUGAGUCUCGUAGAGGGGGGGUAGAAUUCCAGGUGUAGCGGUGAAAUGCGUAGAGAUCUGGAGGAAUACCGGUGGCGAAGGCGGCCCCCUGGACGAAGACUGACGCUCAGGUGCGAAAGCG
rnacentral:rRNA from 1 species